rnacentral:rRNA from 1 species
GAGUUUGAUCAUGGCUCAGAUUGAACGCUGGCGGCAUGCCUUACACAUGCAAGUCGAACGGCAGCACGGGAGCUUGCUCCUGGUGGCGAGUGGCGAACGGGUGAGUAAUGCAUCGGAACGUAUCCUGGAGUGGGGGAUAACGUAGCGAAAGUUACGCUAAUACCGCAUAUUCUGUGAGCAGGAAAGCGGGGGACCUUCGGGCCUCGCGCUCUUGGAGCGGCCGAUGUCGGAUUAGCUAGUUGGUGAGGUAAAGGCUCACCAAAGGCGACGAUCCGUAGCAGGUCUGAGAGGAUGAUCUGCCACACUGGAACUGAGACACGGUCCAGACUCCUACGGAGGCAGCAGUGGGGAAUUUUGGACAAUGGGGGCAACCCUGAUCCAGCCAUGCCGCGUGAGUGAAGAAGGACCUCGG